UCGAGUUUUGAACGGGUGUUGCUGGCCUCAUACGGGGCAUGUGCACGCCUGACUUCAUCCACUCUUCAUACCCCUGUGCACUUAUGUAGGCUAGCGUGAAAGGUCGCAUUCAUUUGCGGCUGGAAGCCUGUCUACGUUUUACUACAAACGCUUCAGUUAUAGAAUGUUUAUCUGCGUAUAACGCAGAUAAACAUUCUAUAACUGAAGCGUUUGUAGUUAAAACGUAGACAGGCUUCCAGCCGCAAAUGAAUGCGGACCUUUCACGCUAGCCUACAAUAAGUGCACAGGGGUUGAAGAGUGGAUGAAGUCAGGCGUGCACAUGCCCCGUAUGAGGCAUUAGCAACAACCCGUUAAAACUCGAUAAUGAUCUUCCGCAGGUUCACCUACGGAAGGAUCAUUAUCGAGUUUUGAACGGGUUGUUGCUGGCCUCAUACGGGGCAUGUGCACGCCUGACUUCAUCCACUCUUCAACCCCUGUGCACUUAUUGUAGGCUAGCGUGAAAGGUCGCAUUCAUUUGCGGCUGGAAGCCUGUCUACGUUUUACUACAAACGCUUCAGUUAUAGAAUGUUUAUCUGCGUAUAACGCAUUUAUAUA
rnacentral:misc_RNA from 1 species